AAAAAUUCACAGGACUUCGUGCUGGAUCUGGGCUAUCUGAAUGAUUAAUCACGGUCCUUGCUCUCCAGGAGCUCAUAUUUUACAAAGAACAGACAUGUACGAAAUUAUGAAAACGUGUUGUAGGAGGUGUGCGGGAGGUAUGACCAAAGUUCUGGGGCAGCACAGCGGAGAGGGACUAAUUCCUGGAGGUGUUAAAAAAUAAAGAAGGAAAAGGGCUUCCGGGAGGGAACGUUUGCAGUGCAGGUCCACGCACAAGCAGAAUUUGCCAGGCCGAGAAGGGCCUCCUCCUGGAGGAGCACCUGAAACGCGUGGAAACAACCGGAGGUGCACAGGGCGGCGAGCAGUUCCCGGUGGCCAGAGCGCUGCGUGGCAGGAACCUGGUGAGGAAGGUUUGGGCCACUGUAAAGGGCCACUGAUGGUCAAGCUAAGGAGUUUGUCCAUUGAGCGGAGAAAUAAGGAACCAAAAGAUGUUUUCAUUCAAGGAAGUGAUGUGAUUUUUCUUUUUGAAGAAAAAGUGUUCCAUAAUUUUCUGGGAGGAAACACUAUUUCUUCAAAUGCAAGUAAUGGAAUCUGAGAUUAGGAUCUGUUCCUCUGUUCCCAUCCCCCUUCCCCCCCACCCCCUGCCAGAAAGAAAAACCUGCCAUCUUUCUCCAGAGAACAAUUUUUUAUUUCCAAACUGUGGCUACUCUGCUACUGUCACAAAUAACAAGGUGAAAGAAAUGAGUGUGUGCUUCUUCUGGGACCACGUGGACUGAGACCACCCAGGAAGACAUUUCCCAAUGGGAUUUCACCCCAUCCCCAGAUGUGACAACCCAGAGAAUGGGAAGGGACCUUAAGAGAACCAAUGGGACUCAGGACCAGCCAAUCCUAGAAUAAGCAGCCAACCCAGAGCUUCUCGGUCUCCCUGGGGUUCUUUCCAAACUUUGUGGCUAUUCCUCCAAAUUGUCGCUGAAAAACACCAAAAAUAGGCCAACUCUUUUCAAUUUAAUUAGCCAUUCCUCUGAGGACGCCAGAUGGAAUGAAGCAAAGACAGAUGCACUGGGGGCAAGGAGGGGUGGGAGUAGAUUCUAAAUGGGGUUGUCUCAGGAGCCCAAACUCAUCUCCACAAAGGGUCCCCCUCAAAGCACGGAGCUCAAGAGGCAGACGAAGGGGCUCCUGCCAUUGGGAUCCUAGGCCAAGGCUCAAAUGUGCUCUCAGGCACAGACAAUGAGGUGCCCAGAAGGAUGGAAGCUGGUACCUGGGGCUCCUGGGGCUCCCAGAAGGAGGAACCCCUGCUCCCUCCGCAGGGACUAAUGCACAGUCCCCAAGGUGGGGUGCAAGUGGGGAAUCUGCCCUCACCUGGCUCCCGUCUCUGGGGCUGUGGGUAGCCAGCAGCCCACACUGACAGCCUUGUGGCACAGCCAAGUGAGUUGCUGGAAUCUAUUUCUGGAGCUCUGUAAGAGUGGGGGAAACAGCCAGCUGCCUGGGACCACAUGAUCCCUGCAGUGUCUUCCUUAUCUACAAUAGCAUGACAUUUGCUAAGUAAAUGCAGGCAAAAGAACCUGGGCAGGGGAGAGCUAAAAAUGACCCUUAUGGCCUUAGGGGGUCUCUCACCCUUAGUCCAGUACUUUCUCCUCGAGGUGGAAAGACCACCAAUGUGGAGCAACUGCCCCCUCUGGUGGUGAAUAUCGGGAUAAAGUUACACGGAGCGGCUUCUUCACCCUCUCUCUACCUUACUCAGUGGCAAUUUCUCCCCCAAAGUACCGAAUAAAAGAUGACUGUGAGUCCAGGCUUCUAGCUUCCUUCUUUUUCUCCUGAUUGCAGCUGUGGUGCUUAGCCAGGAGCUUCUUUCAAGUUACGGAUUGACAUAUUACAAUGGGAAAAUCACUGGACCUAUGCCCCGAACAGGAGCUUGGUUGCGGUGAGAACAUCGAGUGCGUCACUUCUUCCUUUUGCUCCAUGGAGAAAAAAAAAAAAACAAACCUACCUGUGCACAUAUCUUUACUCAAGCUAGCUGUUCCCAUCUCUGCGUCGUGGAGAGCAUAGCGGCACUGCCUGCCUCCCAGUGAGUCCGCCGGCUGUCUCAGUGUUGUGGCUUAGAGCUGCCAGCCUCCUGCAACAGAGAAGGGAAGAGCUGAGCUGGAGGGUGUGGUCCAGCCUGCCAAGGAGGCAAAGCACGGGGGUGGGAAGACCAGCUCCUUGACUGUACCUGACAACUUCGUUGGGCUGCCAGACAGCCUGAGAUCACCUCCCUUCAGUCUUAUUGUGAAACCAUUAGCUUCUUUAUGGUUUAAGUCACUGCUAGUUCCCAGCAGAAGGCAGCCUCACUGAUAUGGGUGGUUGUCCUACCAAAACAAAGAUCAGAGUACCAGCAAGACUUAAAAAUGUCGAGGUGACGCAUCUUUGACUGGGGCUGCUUUCCUAAAGGAGCAGUCCAGGCCAUUGCUCUUCAAAAUGAUCCCGAGCUGCCAGUUACUUUGUGUUGGGCACUGAAAAGUAUGGAAGCCAGACCUCUCUGACCUUCUGAACUCAGGCCAAAUCAGCCCAUGACUACUUUCAAGCAAGAAACACCAAUCAGCCCUGUCUAUAGCGUCUCACCGGUACCUCUCCUUAUCGAUUCAUUGGCAGACAGAUCUUUCUGUCUUACCCAUUGGCCAUAGUUUGAUUGUAAUAGAUGGGACCUUGGAUGUCAUGCUUUCCUCUAGAAUUUCGACAGAAGAGCAGUGCUGUCUUGAUUGACACAUCCAGGGGCUGAGCUGCAAUAGCGACUCCCAGAGGCUGGGCCUGAAAGGAAAGGAGAGAUGUGCAAAGGAGGCUUUACAGAGAAGCACGCGGAAGACACAGACUUCUCUUCUCAGGGCUGCUGAGGGAUGCACAGGAGACUGGGACCAGAGAGCCCGCCUGGAGAAAUUAACAGCCUAGGGGAAAGAAAGAAAGUCCUAAAGACAAACUAAUAAAAAGCCCACGUGUGACAAGCAGAGUGAAGGAUAGACUGGAAACUCUGGGAGUUGAAAGCAAGGAAUCUAGUUAGCCAGUUCCUGGAAUAUUCUAGGUGAGAGAAAACUAGGGCAGGAGCAGGGGAGAUGGAAAAGAGGGCAGGAUCCAGGAGGCCCUGCUGAGACAGAAUCAGCAUGGACUGCCAGCCAGUUAGAUGUGGGCUGUGAGGAGAGGGAGCAGUGGAGGGACAGAUCUCCUGACACAGCAGUGGGAGAGAUCCUACAAAUUAUCUAGCUCACUCUGAAAAGCAAAUUGUCUAGCUGUGGAGCCCCUUCUUCAACAAAG